AUACGGAGGGUGCAAGCGUUAUCCGGAAUCAUUGGGUUUAAAGGGUCCGUAGGCGGACUAUUAAGUCAGAGGUGAAAUCCCACAGCUCAACUGUGGAACUGCCUUUGAUACUGGUAGUCUUGAGUUAUAUGGAAGUAGAUAGAAUGUGUAGUGUAGCGGUGAAAUGCAUAGAUAUUACACAGAAUACCGAUUGCGAAGGCAGUCUACUACGUAUAUACUGACGCUAAGGGACGAAAGCGUGGGGAGCGAACAGGAUUAGAAACCCUUGUAGUCC
rnacentral:rRNA from 1 species